UCCCUGGAGGACUAGUGGUUAGGCCACAGUGUGCUCACUCCUGUGGCCUGGGUUCAAUCCCGGCCAGGGAA